rnacentral:misc_RNA from 1 species
GAUGAAGAACUUAGCGAAAUGCGAUAAGUAAUGUGAAUUGCAGAAUUCAGUGAAUCAUCGAAUCUUUGAACGCAUCUUGCGCUCCUUGGUAUUCUGAGGAGCAUGCCUGUUUGAGUGUCAUUAAAUUCUCAACUACACUGACUUUGAAUUGGUGUGGCUUGGAUUUGGGGGGAAAAUUGUUGUGGGCUUUUUGUAUAGUCUGCUCCCCUGAAAUUGAUUAGCGGUACCUUUGUGGAACUGUCUACAGGUGUGAUAAUUAUCUACAUCUUAGACAUCUGCUGGAAUGCUGCUUUCUAAACCUUACUUGUAUUGACAAUCUUGACCUCAAAUCAGGUAGGACUACCCGCUGAACUUAAGCAUAUCAAUAAGCGGAGGA